rnacentral:rRNA from 1 species
AUUCCCUUUUAAAAAAAAAAAAAAAAAAAAAAAACACGCCCGAUCUCGGAAGCUAAGCAGGGUCGGGCCUGGUUAGUACUUGGAUGGGAGACCGCCUGGGAAUACCAGGU